rnacentral:rRNA from 1 species
UACGUAGGGGGCAAGCGUUGUCCGGAUUUAUUGGGCGUAAAGAGCUCGUAGGCGGCUCAGCAAGUCGGUCGUGAAAACCCGGGGCUCAACCCCGGGAGGCCGGUCGAUACUGCUGUGGCUAGGGUCCGGUAGAGGAGAGUGGAAUUCCCGGUGUAGCGGUGGAAUGCGUAGAUAUCGGGAGGAACACCAGUGGCGAAGGCGACUUCCUGGCCUGUUCUUGACGCUGAGGCGCGAAAGCUAGGGGAGCAAACGGG